rnacentral:rRNA from 1 species
UACGUAGGGGGCAAGCGUUGUCCGGAAUCAUUGGGCGUAAGCGCGUGUAGGCGGUCCGGUAAGUCCGCUGUGAAAGUCGGGGGCUCAACCCUCGGAUGCCGGUGGAUACUGUCGGGCUUGAGUACGGAAGAGGCGAGUGGAAUUCCUGGUGUAGCGGUGAAAUGCGCAGAUAUCAGGAGGAACACCAAUUGCGAAGGCAGCUCGCUGGGACGUUACUGACGCUGAGACGCGAAGCGUGGGGAGCAAACAGG